UCCAGGUGUUCCCAGUUGACACGUGGUGAUAAAACUAUACAGGCAUGACUAAUACACAGACCUUUGCAGAGGAGAAUAGGGGUUAGCCUGCCCAGAUGGAGGCCCUCAUUAACACCUAGCCUAACGACAUUCUGUUUCCUCUCAGAGAAAAGAAAUCCAGGAAAUCCUUUGGUAACUAUGUUGGCGCCCGACGUGGUUCUCUCCAGAGUUCUAGGCCUUGAAAUAGAUUAGAGACAGCCAUUUGCUCUCAGCUCUUUCAAAAAACACGUCAAGAACUGAUAGAGGAAGACGGAGCUACAGAGAGUGUGAAGAAAGGUGUCACAUUGUCGUAAGGGUCUGCUCGUUCAUCACUGGCCCCAUCCCGAGGAAUCGUCGCAGAGUGAAUAGUCCUUGAUAGAACCAGAUUGAUGUCGUCGCAAUUUACUUGACAGCAAGUUGAUUGUGUCACCAGCCUUCUUAAGCGCCCUCUUUCAUCCUGCCAAUCCAUCCAAUCCACACAAGGGGCCUCAUCUUUCAAAGGCCCCUCUGAAUGCGAUAAGCAAGGGAGAUCAGAGUGAGGUGCCUGCCUGCUCACAGAUGUGCUUCAAACGACGACGGGGGGGAAGGAAGGAACGUCACGCUCUGCGACGCUAUCUCUACAUCUCCACCCGCAUCUGCUGCUACCAACCAACAUCUCUCUAACCUCCCUCACCCCCCCCCCAUCCAUCCCACAUUUGUCAUGUGUGCCAUAUAGCCUUGACGUAGUUGGAAGGAACAAAGCAUGAGACAAAAGUUCCUUGCGGAUCCAAAAAUGUACUCCCCCCCACUUGUAUCCUCACUGCACGCACAAGUAUGCACACAGAGACACGCAUACACACACGCAUACGCACAUACCCCACACAUACAAACACUAACUUUCCCCCUUGCCCACAUGCAUUAUUUAUGAGCAUCAAUUCCCCUUACCUUUGAUCCCUAACCUGUGUUUUUAACAGUUCAUCCACUCUAUCCCAUAAUAGGUGACUUAUUGUGUCCCAGGCUGUGGACACAGGUGACAUGGACCGAUGGACUGAGCUGUCGAUAGAUGUCGGUUGUGUCCCAAUCAGGCACCCUGUUCUCGUGACUUUCGACCAGGGCCCAUAUAGGGAAGAGGGUGCCAUUUGGGGACACCGCCAUUGUGUUGUCAGAACCAGAAGGCCUUGUCAUCCCGGUCACUCAUCUGCUUUGACCGGGACUGAGUGACCGAGUACCAAUGACGAGCUCUAUCUGUUUGAGCAGCUCUGAUGAACCAAGAGGAUAUGAAACAGGCUUUUAGCUGCUCUCCGGAUAAUUGGAGACUAUUGCAUCUGUAAUGUUAUGCCAAUGUGAAGGGUCUUAAAGUAUGUCGAAACAAAGUUAGCACCAUUUUGUACAAGUCACAUGUUCUGUCUCAUCAUAAACACACAUGUGUUUGAACUGCACUAAAGGCUGUGAAUUUA